CCUACGGGGGGCAGCAGUAGGGAAUUUUCGGCAAUGGACGAAAGUCUGACCGAGCAACGCCGCGUGAGGGAGGAAGUACUUCGGUAUGUAAACCUCUGUUAUAAAGGAAGAACGGUAUAAUCAGGGAAUGGGUUAUAAGUGACGGUACUUUAUGAGGAAGCCACGGCUAACUACGUGCCAGCAGCCGCGGUAAUACGUAGGUGGCGAGCGUUAUCCGGAAUCAUUGGGCGUAAAGAGGGAGCAGGCGGCAGCAAGGGUCUGCGGUGAAAGACCGAAGCUAAACUUCGGUAAGCCGUGGAAACCGG
rnacentral:rRNA from 1 species